UACGUAGGGGGGCAAGCGUUGUCCGGAAUCAUUGGGCGUAAAGAGCGCGUAGGUGGUUUUCUAAGUCAGCUGUGAAAUCCCCGGGCUCAACCUGGGACUUGCAGUUGAAACUGGAAAGCUAGAGUAGGGUAGAGGGGUGUGGAAUUCCAGGUGUAGCGGUGAAAUGCGUAGAUAUGCGGAGGAACACCGAUGGCGAAGGCAAUCCCCUGGGCCUGUACUGACGCUCAUGCACGAAGCGU
rnacentral:rRNA from 1 species